CAAUGGAUGAUACAUUCAUCACAAUGAUGAAUUAAUAUUGUUGCCUUGUGUAGAGGUACAAUGGACAUUUCAAUAACUUAAUGAGGGGUAUUUUGGAAUGGACAAGAGGUAUGUGGACUCUUGAAUCCAAACACUGUGCUUGGUUUAUCAU